rnacentral:rRNA from 1 species
GCUUAACACAUGCAAGUCGAACGCACCUUUCGGGGUGAGUGGCAGACGGGUGAGUAACGCGUGGGAACGUGCCCUUCAGUUCGGAAUAACCCAGGGGAACUUGGGCUAAUACCGGAUACGUGCGAGAGCAGAAAGAUUUAUCGCUGAAGGAUCGGCCCGCGUCUGAUUAGCUAGUUGGUGGGGUAAUGGCCCACCAAGGCGACGAUCAGUAGCUGGUCUGAGAGGAUGAUCAGCCUCACUGGGACUGAGACACGGCCCAGACUCCUACGGGAGGCAGCAGUGGGGAAUAUUGGACAAUGGACGAAAGUCUGAUCCAGCAAUACCGCGUGGACGAUGAAGGCCCUAGGGUUGUAAAGUCCUUUCGGCGGGGAAGAUAAUGACGGUACCCGCAGAAGAAGCCCCGGCUAACUUCGUGCCAGCAGCCGCGGUAAUACGAAGGGGGCGAGCGUUGUUCGGAAUCACUGGGCGUAAAGGGCGCGUAGGCGGCCAAGCAAGUCAGAUGUGAAAGCCCACGGCUCAACCGUGGAAGUGCAUUUGAAACUGCUUGGCUUGAGUAUCAGAGGGGAAAGUGGAAUUCCCGGUGUAGAGGUGAAAUUCGUAGAUAUCGGGAGGAAUACCGGUGGCGAAGGCGACUUUCUGGCUGAAUACUGACGCUGAGGCGCGAAAGCGUGGGGAGCAAACAGGAUUAGAUACCCUGCCCCUAGUCCACGCCGUAAACGAUGUCAACUAGGUGCAGGGGGUGUUGAUCCCCUCUGUGUCGCAGCUAACGCAUUAAGUUGACCGCCUGGGGAGUACGGUCGCAAGAUUAAAACUCAAAGGAAUUGACGGGGGCCCGCACAAGCGGUGGAGUAUGUGGUUUAAUUCGAUGCAACGCGAAGAACCUUACCUGGUCUUGACAUCCCGAAAAAGACCUAGAAAUAGGAAGUGCUCUCUUUGAGAGAAUUUGGUGACAGGUGCUGCAUGGCUGUCGUCAGCUCGUGUCGUGAGAUGUUGGGUUAAGUCCCGCAACGAGCGCAACCCUCGCCAUUAGUUGCCAGCAUUAAGUUGGGCACUCUAAUGGGACUGCCGGUGUCAAACCGGAGGAAGGCGGGGAUGACGUCAAGUCCUCAUGGCCUUUAUGACCAGGGCUACACACGUACUACAAUGGCCGAUACAAAGGGCAGCCACAUGGCGAGGGGGAGCUAAUCCCCAAAAACCGUCUCAGUUCGGAUUGUUCUCUGCAACUCGAGAGCAUGAAGUUGGAAUCGCUAGUAAUCGUGGAUCAGCAUGCCACGGUGAAUACGUUCCCGGGCCUUGUACACACCGCCCGUCACACCAUGGGAGUUGGUUUUACCCGAAGCCGGUGCGCUAACCUGUUUACAGGAGGCAGCCGACCACGGUAGGGUCAGCGACUGGGGUGAAGUCGUAACAAGGUAGCCGUAGGGGAACCUGCGGCUGGAUCACCUCCUU